rnacentral:rRNA from 1 species
AUUGAACGCUGGCGGCAUGCUUUACACAUGCAAGUCGAACGGCAGCGCGGGCUUCGGCCUGGCGGCGAGUGGCGAACGGGUGAGUAAUACAUCGGAACGUGCCCAGUAGUGGGGGAUAGCUCGGCGAAAGCCGGAUUAAUACCGCAUACGACCUGAGGGUGAAAGCGGGGGAUCUUCGGACCUCGCGCUAUUGGAGCGGCCGAUGGCAGAUUAGCUAGUUGGUGGGGUAAAGGCCUACCAAGGCGACGAUCUGUAGCUGGUCUGAGAGGGCGACCAGCCACACUGGGACUGAGACACGGCCCAGACUCCUACGGGAGGCAGCAGUGGGGAAUUUUGGACAAUGGGCGAAAGCCUGAUCCAGCAAUGCCGCGUGUGUGAUGAAGGCCUUCGGGUUGUAAAGCACUUUUGGCGGGAACGAAAAGGACCGUGCCAAUACCACGGUUCGAUGACGGUACCCGCAGAAUAAGCACCGGCUAACUACGUG